GCUUGUCUCAAAGAUUAAGCCAUGCAUGUCUAAGUAUAAAUAGUAUACAGUGAAACUGCGAAUGGCUCAUUAAAACAGUUAUAGUUUAUUUGAUAAUUGAAAAUUACAUGGAUAACCGUGGUAAUUCUAGAGCUAAUACAUGCUAUCAAGCCCGACUUCUUGAAGGGUUGUAUUUAUUAGAUAAAAACCAAUGCCUCGUGCUUUUGGUGAGUCAUGAUAACUGCGCGGAUCGCAUGGCCUUGCGCCGGCGACGCUUCAUUCAAAUUUCUGCCCUAUCAACUUUCGAUGGUAAGAUAGAGGCUUACCAUGGUGUUAACGGGUAACGGGGAAUUGGGGUUCGAUUCCGGAGAGGGAGCCUGAGAAAUGGCUACCACUUCCAAGGAAGGCAGCAGG
rnacentral:rRNA from 1 species